CAAGAGGCUGCCAGUGCCACUGGGUCAUAGCAGGAGCUCCCAAGCAUGAGUAUUCUUCUCUAUAAAACGGAGCCAUUGGAGUCAUGGAGCCCCUGCUCUAGGCCAGGGGCACUUUCUACAGGAGAAGUUUGGAAUCUACGGAUGCCUAAGACAUGGCACCCACACUGGAGGAGCUCACGUCUGAUAGGCUUGUGUCCAGCCUCCGGACCCCCUCCAACCAGAUGUCCUCACUGGGGGGGGAACCAACAUUCUGAAAGAUACUGCCGUGCAGCCAGGAUUCAGAGGCACUGAGGCUGAAGAGAGAAGAGAAAGGAUGGCGGACUCUCUUCUUCUUUCUGAAUAUUCUGGAGCAAAAGGAAAGCAGCCUGGAGCCAGGCUGGAGGAUCAGCUCCUAUGGAGGACACGCCCUGCUCCACAUAGAGGGAGAACAUGAGAGCUGGCAGAAAUAUGUAACGCCUUUUCAAACUUCUUUUCACAGAUGGCAUCUAAAAUUUCCACUCUUAUUUUAUUGGUCAAGGCAGAUUGUUUGACCAAGCUCAGUGCCAGUGGGGUAAACACACCUCCCCAUGGGCAAGAACUGCUGCAAAUCACAGGGCUGUGAGUGGGGACCUGCAGUGGACGUGGGAAGGGAUGAAAGGGAAUCGUGGAAAUAAUUACAUAAUUUAUGGUUCUCCAUCUUGAUCACAACUAUUUACCUCCCUCUCCUGAUUUCAAAAAUGCUGAGGAGUAUCUUCACAAAGGACACUCAAAUUCCAGUCAAUCAUGGCAACAGAUUUCAAGUCUACAUUCUUCAGCUAUUUCUAUAUUGAUUCCUCUUGAUAUAGAGCCUCCUGAACCAUCUUGCUGCCUCUGCUGACCACUCUGUACUGGAAGAGGGACAGAAUAAUUUACACCCAAACUUUCCCCUUUGGCAAGGGGCAGUGGGGAAGGAGAGACACACAGCAAUGGCUGUUCCAUGGAAAUUCUAAAGCUGAAUGGUCAGACAUUGCGAGAGCUCUAGACCUUGCGGAUGGGAAGUGCUCCUGAUAAGGCAGUUAAGGCUCUGAUUCUGCUCCCCAGAUGAGGCAACCCGGACAAUUGCUUGUGGCUCUUGGCUUCACCCUCAGGAAAGUAAAAAUCAUUCUUUUUCCUUACUGUUCUUGGCCACCUCUGAAGAUUAGAGAAUAUGCCUUCCUUGGGAGCUAUGAAACUUAAUCAACCUACUUU